rnacentral:rRNA from 1 species
GACGAACGCUGGCGGCGUGCUUAACACAUGCAAGUCCAACGGAAAGGCCCUGCUUUUGUGGGGUGCUCGAGUGGCGAACGGGUGAGUAACACGUGAGUAACCUGCCCUUGACUUUGGGAUAACUUCAGGAAACUGGGGCUAAUACCGGAUAGGAGCUCCUGCUGCAUGGUGGGGGUUGGAAAGUUUCGGCGGUUGGGGAUGGACUCGCGGCUUAUCAGCUUGUUGGUGGGGUAGUGGCUUACCAAGGCUUUGACGGGUAGCCGGCCUGAGAGGGUGACCGGCCACAUUGGGACUGAGAUACGGCCCAGACUCCUACGGGAGGCAGCAGUGGGGAAUAUUGCGCAAUGGGCGGAAGCCUGAUGCAGCAACGCCGCGUGCGGGAUGACGGCCUUCGGGUUGUAAACCGCUUUCGCCUGUGACGAAGCGUGAGUGACGGUAAUGGGUAAAGAAGCACCGGCUAACUACGUG